rnacentral:rRNA from 1 species
ACGCUGGCGGCAGGCCUAACACAUGCAAGUCGAACGGUAGCACAGAGAGCUUGCUCUCGGGUGACGAGUGGCGGACGGGUGAGUAAUGUCUGGGAAACUGCCUGAUGGAGGGGGAUAACUACUGGAAACGGUAGCUAAUACCGCAUAACGUCGCAAGACCAAAGAGGGGGACCUUCGGGCCUCUUGCCAUCAGAUGUGCCCAGAUGGGAUUAGCUAGUAGGUGGGGUAACGGCUCACCUAGGCGACGAUCCCUAGCUGGUCUGAGAGGAUGACCAGCCACACUGGAACUGAGACACGGUCCAGACUCCUACGGGAGGCAGCAGUGGGGAAUAUUGCACAAUGGGCGCAAGCCUGAUGCAGCCAUGCCGCGUGUAUGAAGAAGGCCUUCGGGUUGUAAAGUACUUUCAGCGGGGAGGAAGGUGUUGUGGUUAAUAACCGCAGCAAUUGACGUUACCCGCAGAAGAAGCACCGGCUAACUCCGUGCCAGCAGCCGCGGUAAUACGGAGGGUGCAAGCGUUAAUCGGAAUUACUGGGCGUAAAGCGCACGCAGGCGGUCUGUCAAGUCGGAUGUGAAAUCCCCGGGCUCAACCUGGGAACUGCAUUCGAAACUGGCAGGCUAGAGUCUUGUAGAGGGGGGUAGAAUUCCAGGUGUAGCGGUGAAAUGCGUAGAGAUCUGGAGGAAUACCGGUGGCGAAGGCGGCCACCUGGACAAAGACUGACGCUCAGGUGCGAAAGCGUGGGGAGCAAACAGGAUUAGAUACCUGGUAGUCCACGCCGUAAACGAUGUCGACUUGGAGGUUGUGCCCUUGAGGCGUGGCUUCCGGAGCUAACGCGUUAAGUCGACCGCCUGGGGAGUACGGCCGCAAGGUUAAAACUCAAAUGAAUUGACGGGGGCCCGCACAAGCGGUGGAGCAUGUGGUUUAAUUCGAUGCAACGCGAAGAACCUUACCUACUCUUGACAUCCAGAGAACUUUCCAGAGAUGGAUUGGUGCCUUCGGGAACUCUGAGACAGGUGCUGCAUGGCUGUCGUCAGCUCGUGUUGUGAAAUGUUGGGUUAAGUCCCGCAACGAGCGCAACCCUUAUCCUUUGUUGCCAGCGGUUAGGCCGGGAACUCAAAGGAGACUGCCAGUGAUAAACUGGAGGAAGGUGGGGAUGACGUCAAGUCAUCAUGGCCCUUACGAGUAGGGCUACACACGUGCUACAAUGGCGCAUACAAAGAGAAGCGACCUCGCGAGAGCAAGCGGACCUCAUAAAGUGCGUCGUAGUCCGGAUUGGAGUCUGCAACUCGACUCCAUGAAGUCGGAAUCGCUAGUAAUCGUAGAUCAGAAUGCUACGGUGAAUACGUUCCCGGGCCUUGUACACACCGCCCGUCACACCAUGGGAGUGGGUUGCAAAAGAAGUAGGUAGCUUAACCUUC